UUAAGGAAGUCAAAAAUUCCUAUAAUAAUGGUAUAUGAAGAACACGAUUGCUCCUCUAUUAAGUUAACUUAGCUAAUCGAAUAUGAAAAAUAUAACUAUAUAAUAAUAAUUAAUUCACCGGUAGAGAUAAAUGAUUUAAUAAUAGUACUUCUUACCAUGAAUUUUCAAACUCUAUUCGUUCCGCAGUGUAGUAACGAAGAUGAAAUCUUCAGAGUUCUAAGAAUAUAUAGGAAUAUAAAAUGUAAAUUAUAUACCUGUAAUGAAUGAACACUUUUUAUUUGACAAAAAUGUAUGCCAACGCGUAAAAAAUAUAUGAGCUUAUCGACCAAGGAUCACUAAAACCCUCUGGGCUGGAUGAUACAUUUGGAGAGGCAUUAUCCCUAGUUUCCAGAUUUGGCCUGCCUACUUCAAUUUUGAUUUUUUUACAAAUUGUAUAAUACUUCCUGUCGACGCAUCGUCGUGGAUCAAUUAACUUAUUGUCGCUUUUUGGACACGCAACACUGGCAGACAUACUCUCCAAGAAUCUCAUUUGGUGGCGGUGGAAAUGAGGGCGAACUACUGACGCCUGAACCGCGGUUGCAGGUAUCAUGGUUAUCAAACUGGCGGCGAAGUAAACUGCGAUGAACAACUUUUGUCGCACCGAUGCAUAACGGAGAACAAAGCAAUUGCUAGGAUUUGCUGGACGAUACUAUUCUCAAACUAUAUACUAUAGUAUAGUCAAACUUGGAUAAAAUCGCGAACGGACGGAAACACCGGUGGUGAACUUGCAGGCACGGGAUAACGACACAUCAUAAAAAGGGACCAAAGCGGCGAUUACAUCAGCAAUAAAAUGAACCAAAUUAAUAAAAACCAAUAUGGCUGACGUGAGUUAAUCGGACGUGCGGACUUGCCUAGCGCAACGGAA